rnacentral:misc_RNA from 1 species
GGUUUUUGAAUCCUGGAAGCAAUAGCUUUUCUGGAACGACCACUGCCCUCCAUCUGCUCCUUCUGCAACAUGUCUACCAUCCAUGAGUCUCUCAUUGCUUCCCUCUCCUCUCUAUCAUAUUCCUCUUCACUCUCUCUUUCUUCCUCUUCCUUCCUCUUCGACUCCCUCAUACUAUGCAAAAAAGUCUCCGCCAGCCUUUUUCUCUUCUCAGCUGCCGUCUCCUC